GACGAACCGUGCGAACGUUAUUCGGAAUCACUGGGCUUAAAGGGUGCGUAGGCGGGUUGCCAAGUCUGUGGUGAAAUCCUCCGGCUUAACCGGAGAACUGCCAUGGAUACUGGGUGUCUCGAGGGUGGUAGGGGUAUGCGGAACUAUCGGUGGAGCGGUGAAAUGCGUUGAUAUCGAUAGGAACUCCGGUGGCGAAGGCGGCAUACUGGACCACAUCUGACGCUGAGGCGCGAAAGCCAGGGGAGCGAACGGG
rnacentral:rRNA from 1 species